GGCACGGUCGGGACCUCGGGGACACCUCCCACCCGUGUUGCCCGAACCUAUGUUGCCUCGGCGGGCCCCGCGCCCGCCGACGGCCCCCCUGAACGCUGUCUGAAGUUGCAGUCUGAGACCUAUAACGAAAUUAGUUAAAACUUUCAACAACGGAUCUCUUGGUUCCGGCAUCGAUGAAGAACGCAGCGAAAUGCGAUAACUAAUGUGAAUUGCAGAAUUCAGUGAAUCAUCGAGUCUUUGAACGCACAUUGCGCCCUCUGGUAUUCCGGAGGGCAUGCCUGUCCGAGCGUCAUUGCUGCCCUCAAGCCCGGCUUGUGUGUUGGGCCCCGUCCCCCCCGCCGGGGGGACGGGCCCGAAAGGCAGCGGCGGCACCGCGUCCGGUCCUCGAGCGUAUGGGGCUUCGUCACCCGCUCUAGUAGGCCCGGCCGGCGCCAGCCGACCCCCAACCUUUAAUUAUCUCAGGUUGACCUCGGAUCAGGUAGGGAUACCCGCUGAACUUAAGCAUAUCAAUAAGCGGAGGAA
rnacentral:rRNA from 1 species